rnacentral:lncRNA from 1 species
AGGAAGCGAGUCGGUUUAACAGGCUUCAAUUGUCGCUGUGGAAACAUCUUCUGUGCAGUGCAUCGCUACUCUGACAAACAUGCCUGCCCAUUCGACUACAGGACCGCUGCUCGAGAUGCCAUAGCCAAAUCCAACCCUGUUAUCAAGCCUGAAAAGCUUGACAAAAUCUAAGAAGCCAUGUUUGAACAGUCUACCCCACGAGUCUUCUCUUGUUUACUCAUGACAUAAAUGGUCGCUCGGGCUUUCCCUGUCUGAAAGAACAUUAUAGAUCAGUCAUCCAUGGUGUGUUUUGCUGCUGGUCUGAUGAACAGGCUUCUCAUGGUAAGUUUUCAAUGCACCCUUCUGCUUUAUGUUAUACUUUCUCCUGGGUUUGCUACAUGUGUGGUUGGUUCAUGCAGAACUCAAACUGGUACAAGAACUUAUCUAUGAGCC